GCUUACUUCAGCAGCAGGGACACUGGAACGAUGCAGAGAAGAUCAGCAUGGCCCUGUGCAAGGACAACACACGAAUUCAUGAAGCCUUCCAUAUUUUU
rnacentral:snRNA from 1 species